UAGGAAAACUCUGCUGUGCCAACCAAUAAAUUUGGUCACAGGGUUUCCCCUUGCUGGAGUAGAACAGAAUCGGCUUGUACGAUUUUCCAGUUUGGCAAAAGAAAAAAAAUUUGAUAAAAGUGAAUGUCCGAUUAGAACAAACCCAUCUGACUUCAAUGGAUUAGGAAGCAGUAGCCCGUCAUCCUUCCACUGCAAAGAAUGGGAGGUUCUCGCUGCUCUGUUAAACCAGCCUGACGCAGUCCCCUCCGCUCUAAGAGCCUAGCAGCCCAUGCUUUCGCUUGGACUACAAAGCACAAUUCUUUGCUUGGAACGGGCAGGCCAGCGAGUAGCAAACCUGAAUCCAGUCCGUUGGGCUUGAAUAACGUCCAAACACCAUAAUGCCCCCACUUGGGUUACAAGCUUGAGAUACCA
rnacentral:lncRNA from 1 species